GCCGGGUAUGGUGGCGCAUGCCUGUAAUCCCAGCAACUUGGGAGGCUGAGGUGGAAGAAUCGCUUGAUCCCAGGAAGUGGAGGUUGCAAUGAGCUGAGAUCUCGCCAUUGCACUCCAGCCUGGGCAACAAAGUGAGACUCUAUCACAA
rnacentral:sRNA from 13 species